rnacentral:misc_RNA from 1 species
AGUCGUAACAAGGUUUCCGUAGGUGAACCUGCGGAAGGAUCAUUAACACUUUUUGGUUUUCCAAAAACCAAUUUUCCUUUCAACACCUAAUGUGAAUUGUUUUAUUUGUCGUGUGAAAUUUUCCCUUUCUCAAAAAGGCAGAGAGUGUGUUAGGAAAUUGAGACUAUGUUUCAAUUUCUUUUCCAGUCUAUCUUGCUUGGUUGGGUGGGAGAAUUUCACUCAACAAUUAAACCCCAUAAACCAAAUUUAAUGUAACCAAAAAAAUUACAAAAAAAAAUUGACAGAGAAACUCUAAGUUUCCUAAAUAACAACAAUAAAAAACAACUCUUAGCAAUGGAUAUCUUGGUUCUCGC